AAAGCGCAAGUCGUCGGGCGAAUCAAAUACUGACACGUGGCAAUUUUUUUUUUUUUUAAAAAUCAAUUAAAUUUUUUGCCAAACCCACGUAUUCUACUUUCUGUUCAUGGAAGUUACAACAUUCGAUUUAACAACCGUUUCUGUUUUUUAGCCAAAAAACUGUUUUUUUUAAACGAAGCAACAAAAAAAACUGUUUAUAUCUUCUUCAUCACAAACAAAAGUAUCCAUUUGUCUAUUUUCUUCACACGUUUCCAAUUAUGUUUUCAAAUCUUUGUUAUUAAAUUGUCUCUGACACAUUUGUAACAAGUACAAACUUCAUUUUAACGUCCGUGUUGGUCUCAUUGCAAAGUUUCAACAAUGAAGAUUCCAAAUCCUAAUAAAAUAACCAGGGAGAAGGAGACAACAACAUCAGAAGUCAACCACAAUCUAUGGCAAAGGUAAACGAUUUUAUUUUCAUAAUCAAAUUCAAAUAAAUUUAAAAUUGUGCAGAAACUAAUCAUGCAUUUUUCAAUGUGCUAUAGAAAACAAACUCGCAAAUUCUACCGAUAGUUCUUCGACAUGCUUCAUUUUCAAAACAAAAAAAAAACAUGCUCCAAUAUGCAUGGAAAGCAACACUACGUCAAAAUUACAAAGGAUAUGUAAAAUAAUUUUGUGUCAUUGUAUUUUUAAUUAACGUAAAUCAACUAAUUUGUAUGUUUGGUUUCAGCGACCAAUAUGAAUAUUCAAGAUCCGGAAAAGAAUAUAAACGGAGCAGCAUUCAAAUUGCAACACUGAGAGAAAAAUUCAGUUUACUGCAUUGAAAAUAUCUUCUCAAGCACUGCAAGCGCUUUUGCAUCUUCUUCAAAAGUUGUAUCAAGACAGCCCUAAAUGAUAUUUCAAACAGUAA